AAAUUGAAGAGUUUGAUCAUGGCUCAGAUUGAACGCUGGCGGCAGGCCUAACACAUGCAAGUCGAACGGUAACAGGAAGCAGCUUGCUGCUUUGCUGACGAGUGGCGGACGGGUGAGUAAUGUCUGGGAAACUGCCUGAUGGAGGGGGAUAACUACUGGAAACGGUAGCUAAUACCGCAUAACGUCGCAAGACCAAAGAGGGGGACCUUCGGGCCUCUUGCCAUCGGAUGUGCCCAGAUGGGAUUAGCUUGUUGGUGGGGUAACGGCUCACCAAGGCGACGAUCCCUAGCUGGUCUGAGAGGAUGACCAGCCACACUGGAACUGAGACACGGUCCAGACUCCUACGGGAGGCAGCAGUGGGGAAUAUUGCACAAUGGGCGCAAGCCUGAUGCAGCCAUGCCGCGUGUAUGAAGAAGGCCUUCGGGUUGUAAAGUACUUUCAGCGGGGAGGAAGGGAGUAAAGUUAAUACCUUUGCUCAUUGACGUUACCC
rnacentral:rRNA from 1 species